GGUCAAGCUACAAAGGGCGCAUGGUGAAUGCCUUGGCAUCAGGAGCCGAUGAAGGACGUGAUAAGCUGCGAUAAGCUUCGGGUAGGCGCACAUAGCCUGAGAUCCGAAGAUCUCCGAAUGAGGAAACUCACAUGGGAAACCCCAUGUAUCAUUAAGUGAAUACAUAGCUUAAUGAAGGUAACCCAGGGAACUGAAACAUCUAAGUACCUGGAGGAAGAGAAAGAAAAAUCGAUUUUCUUAGUAGCGGCGAGCGAAAGGGAAAGAGCCCAAACCGGAAACUUGUUUCCGGGGUUGUGGACAUAACAUAAAAGUGGAGGCUAUUGUAACUGAAGAGAACUGGAAAGUUCCACCGUAGAAGGUAAUAGUCCUGUAAGUGAAACGAGAAGACCACGAGUUAUGAUCCAGAGUACCACGAGACACGUGAAACCUUGUGGGAAGCAGGGAGGACCACCUCCCAAGGCUAAAUACUACCUGAUGACCGAUAGUGAAGCAGUACCGUGAGGGAAAGGUGAAAAGAACCCCGGGAGGGGAGUGAAAUAGAACCUGAAACCGUGUGCCUACAACCGCUCAGAGCCCCUUAUGAGGGUGAUGAGGUGCUUUUUGUAGAACGAGCCAACGAGUUACGGUAUGUAGCAAGGUUAAGUACUUAAGGUACGGAGCCGAAGGGAAACCGAGUCUGAAUAGGGCGACUAGUUGCAUGCCGUAGACCCGAAACCGGGUGACCUAUCCAUGGCCAGGUUGAAGCGAGGGUAAAACCUCGUGGAGGACCGAACCACGUUGCUGUUGAAAAAGCAUGGGAUGAGCUGUGGAUAGCGGAGAAAUUCCAAUCGAACCCGGAGAUAGCUGGUUCUCUCCGAAAUAGCUUUAGGGCUAGCGUCGAGUAUGAGUAGUGGAGGUAGAGCACUGAAUGGGCUAGGGGGCAUAGCGCUUACCGAACCUUAUCAAACUCCGAAUGCCACAUACUUUGAGCUCGGCAGUCAGACUACGAAUGAUAAGAUCCGUGGUCAAAAGGGAAACAGCCCAGAUCGUCAGCUAAGGUCCCAAAGUGUAAGUUAAGUGGGAAAGGAUGUGAGAUUUCUAAGACAACUAGGAUGUUGGCUUAGAAGCAGCCAUUCAUUAAAAGAGUGCGUAAUAGCUCACUAGUCGAGAGAUCUUGCGCCGAAAAUGUAACGGGGCUAAACUUACCACCGAAGCUACGGGCUUGAACUUAGUUCAAGCGGUAGGAGAGCGUCGUAACCGGGCUGAAGUCGUACCGUAAGGAGCGGUGGACUGGUUACGAGUGAGAAUGUUGGCAUCAGUAGCGAGAUGUGGGUGAGAAUCCCACAGGCCGAAAACCUAAGGUUUCCUCAGGAAGGUUCGUCCGCUGAGGGUUAGUCGGGACCUAAGCCGAGGCCGAAAGGCGUAGGUGAUGGACAACUGGUUGAUAUUCCAGUACCACUACCAUCGUUAUUAUCGAUGGCGUGACGCAGGAGGAUAGUGUGUGCUAGCUAUUGGAUGCUAGUCUAAGCGUUUAGGCAGUGAGAGUAGGCAAAUCCGCUCUCAUAAUGCUGAGGCGUGAUGGGGAAGGUUCCACGGAACCGAAGUACAUGAUUCCACGCUGCCAAGAAAAGCGUCUAGAGAGAGAAGUAGUGCCCGUACCGCAAACCGACACAGGUAGGUGAGGAGAGAAUCCUAAGGCCGGCGGAAGAAUUACAGUUAAGGAACUCGGCAAAUUGACCCCGUAAGUUCGCGAGAAGGGGUGCCUACGAGAGUAGGCCGCAGAGAAUAGGCCCAAGCAACUGUUUAGCAAAAACACAGGUCUCUGCUAAAGCGUAAGCUGAUGUAUAGGGGCUGACGCCUGCCCGGUGCUGGAAGGUUAAGGGGAACACUUAGCGCAAGCGAAGGUGUGAACUUAAGCCCCAGUAAACGGCGGCCGUAACUAUAACGGUCCUAAGGUAGCGAAAUUCCUUGUCAGGUAAGUUCUGACCCGCACGAAUGGCGUAAUGACUUGGGCACUGUCUCAACUGUAAAUCCGGCGAAGUUGUAGUGCGAGUGAAGAUGCUCGCUACCCGCGAUUGGACGGAAAGACCCCGUAGAGCUUUACUGUAGCUUAGCAUUGAGUUUUGGUAUUGUCUGUACAGGAUAGGUGGGAGACUAGGAAACCAGGGCGUCAGCCUUGGUGGAGUCAACCUUGGGAUACCACCCUGACAGUACUGAAAUUCUAACUGGCGGCCAUGAAUCUGGUCACAGGACAUUGUUAGGUGGGCAGUUUGACUGGGGCGGUCGCCUCCUAAAAAGUAACGGAGGCGCCCAAAGGUUCCCUCAGAACGGUCGGAAAUCGUUCGAAGAGUGCAAAGGCAGAAGGGAGCCUGACUGCGACACCCACAAGUGGAGCAGGGACGAAAGUCGGGCUUAGUGAUCCGGUGGUACCUCGUGGGAGGGCCAUCGCUCAACGGAUAAAAGCUACCUCGGGGAUAACAGGCUGAUCUCCCCCAAGAGUCCACAUCGACGGGGAGGUUUGGCACCUCGAUGUCGGCUCGUCGCAUCCUGGGGCUGAAGUAGGUCCCAAGGGUUGGGCUGUUCGCCCAUUAAAGCGGCACGCGAGCUGGGUUCAGAACGUCGUGAGACAGUUCGGUCCCUAUCCGUCGCGGGCGUAGGAA
rnacentral:rRNA from 1 species